CCUACGGGUGGCAGCAGUGAGGAAUAUUGGUCAAUGGACGCAAGUCUGAACCAGCCAUGCCGCGUGCAGGAAGACGGCUCUAUGAGUUGUAAACUGCUUUUGUACGAGGGUAAACUCAGAUACGCGUAUCUUUCUGAAAGUAUCCUACGAAUAAGGAUCGGCUAACUCCGGGCCAGCAGCCGCGGUAAUACGGAGGGUUCAAGCGUUAUCCGGAUUUAUUGGGUUUAAAGGGUGCGUAGGCGGUCGGAUAAGUUAGCGGUGAAAUCCCGGGGCUCAACUUCGGAAUUGCAUCUGAUACUGUUCGGCUAGAGGGUAGUAGCGGUAGGCGGAAUGUGUGGUGUAGCGGUGAAAUGCUUAGAGAUCAUGCAGAACACCGAUUGCGAAGGCAGCUUACC
rnacentral:rRNA from 1 species